AACGAACGCUGGCGGCAUGCCUAACACAUGCAAGUCGAACGAACCCCUCGGGGUGAGUGGCGCACGGGUGCGUAACACGUGGGAACCUGCCCUUAGGUUCGGAAUAACAGUUAGAAAUGACUGCUAAUACCGGAUAAUGUCUUCGGACCAAAGAUUUAUCGCCUUUGGGUGGGCCCGCGUAGGAUUAGCUAGUUGGUGAGGUAAAGGCUCACCAAGGCGACGAUCCUUAGCUGGUCUUAGAGGAUGAACAGCCACACUGGAACUGAGACACGGCCCAGACUCCUACGGGAGGCAGCAGUGGGGAAUAUUGGACAAUGGGCGAAAGCCUGAUCCAGCAAUGCCGCGUGAGUGAUGAAGGCCUUAGGGUUGUAAAGCUCUUUUACCUGGGAUGAUAAUGACAGUACCAGGAGAAUAAGCCCCGGCUAACUCCGUGCCAGCAGCAGCCGCGG
rnacentral:rRNA from 1 species